rnacentral:tRNA from 1 species
UCCCUUGUGGCUCAGCUGGUAAAGAAUCCACCUGCAAUGCGGGAGACCUGGGUUCAAUCCCUGGCUUGGGAA